CCUACGGGAGGCUGCAGUGGGGAAUAUUGGACAAUGGGGGGAACCCUGAUCCAGCCAUGCCGCGUGUGUGAAGAAGGCCCUCGGGUUGUAAAGCACUUUCAGUGAGGAAGAACGCCUGGUGGUUAAUACCCAUCAGGAAAGACAUCACUCACAGAAGAAGCACCGGCUAACUCCGUGCCAGCAGCCGCGGUAAUACGGAGGGUGCGAUCGUUAAUCGGAAUUACUGGGCGUAAAGCGCGCGUAGGUGGCUUGAUAAGCCGGUUGUGAAAGCCCCGGGCUCAACCUGGGAACGGCAUCCGGAACUGUCAAGCUAGAGUGCAGGAGAGGAAGGUAGAAUUCCCGGUGUAGCGGUGAAAUGCGUAGAGAUCGGGAGGAAUACCAGUGGCGAAGGCGGCCUUCUGGACUGACACUGACACUGAGGUGCGAAAGCGUGGGUAGCAAACAGGAUUAGAUACCCCAGUAGUC
rnacentral:rRNA from 1 species